rnacentral:rRNA from 1 species
UACGGAGGUGGCAAGCGUUACUCGGAAUUAUUGGGUGUAAAGGGCAAGUAGGUGGCUUAGUAAGUGAGAGGUGAAAUACUCCGGCUCAAUCGGAGAACUGCCUUUCAUACUGCUUUGCUUGAGGAUGGUAGGGGGUAAGGGAAUUCCCGGUGUAAGGGUGAAAUCUGUAGAUAUCGGGAAGAACACCAGCGGCGAAGGCGCUUACCUGGACCAUUCCUGACACUGAAUUGCGAAAGCUAGGGGAGCAAACAGA